rnacentral:lncRNA from 1 species
AUUUUAUAGGUUCCUAUUGUUGAUUUAAAAUGCAUUUUACUUUUUGUUUGAUAGUGCUUCCUGCUGUUGAACAGUGUUUAAACAGGAGUCUCUACAGACCGGAUGCUGUUGCACAGCCUGUGACAGAGGAUGAGUUUGCUUUGGAAUCUGAGAUUAUUUCAAAACUAUACAUCCCAAAGAGAAAGAUUAUUUCUCCACGAUCUAUAGAAGAUGUGCUUCCUCCUGUUGAAGAGGCUGUUGACAGGUGUCUCUACCUACUGGACCGUUUUGCACAGGCUGUGACAAAGGAUAAGUUUGCUUUGGAAUCUGAGGU